CAUGGAAUCGUAGCAUCAUAGACUCGUGGAAUGGUUUGUGUUGAAAGGAACAUUAAAGAUCUAGUCUACUUUCAACCCCCUGCCAUGGACAGGGAUGCCUCCUGCCAGCCCAGACUGGCUGUUUGCCAAGGGGAGAUUGCAGGCCUUUGCUGAGAUUUAGCAAAAUUCACUAGCCAAGAGAGCAGGUCACUGACCCUCCAUCAAUCAGCACACAGCAGUUUCUUGCUCUUUACAAUGGAUUUUGAGAUUUGCAAAUAGAAAUUAAAUCCCUCAAAGUGUCAUAGGAAGAGAAUGAUGCAGGUACUACUUUUGCAGACUGGAUGACGUUUCCUGUACUGGACUGGCCUGGGGUCAUUCCUUAACUCUGAGAGUUAUUUUCAUCUGCCUCACUCCCAUGAUGAAACUUUUGGAUGCUGGUGGUUGAUUUCUCCAGAGAUGUCAGUGCAGUGUUCCAAGGGUGCCAGGAUAGAGAGUCACCUGAAGGAUGGUGUCUCCCUCUGAGAAGCUUUGAGAUGGUGCAGUAUCGUGUGGUGCCACAGAAAAGUUGUAUCUGGAUGGCAGAGGAAUUUGCUUCCAAGUUAUCCACUGUAGGAAAGUAAAAAGAGGAGUGUGCCCUUCCGAAAACUUGUGAACAAAUAAUGUCUCCAGAAGAUGUCUGAUGUAGUGUAAACAGUGACAGAAGCAGGCUAAGCUGCAAGAGGAAAAAAAAAGGAAAUUAAGGCACCAGCAGAAAUAGCCUGUGGUGGGCAGACUGGACAACUUACCCUACUGUGACAAAAACAAAGAAGAAAUCAUUUCAUCUCACCAUUGUCACCCCUGCUAGGCACAGAGAGCUGAGAGAAGGGGCAGGGAGAGAAGGCAGAGUCAUGGAGAUGACAUGAGCCACCCUCAGUUUUGAGCAUUUACAAAUACGCAAAUGCAAAGCAGAGCGAGAGACCACCCUUAGUUUGUUAAAGCAGGAUGGAUUUCUGCUCUUAUUUGGUAUGUAUCUUCUACAGCCUGAUGGUCAAGCCAGCUUUUCCCUACAACAACUUCACUUGUAGUCUAAAACCUGAUUUAAAGUGUAGUCAACUUUACAGUAAGUGACUGUCAUGUGUGAGGGUCAAGACUACUUUCUUUUGAAAAAAAUGUUAUGAAUAAAUGCAUAUUUUACAGCUGUG